rnacentral:rRNA from 1 species
AACGAACGCUGGCGGCAUGCCUAACACAUGCAAGUCGAACGAAGGCUUCGGCCUUAGUGGCGCACGGGUGCGUAACGCGUGGGAAUCUGCCCUUGGGUUCGGAAUAACGGAGAGAAAUCUCCGCUAAUACCGGAUGAUGUCGCGAGACCAAAGAUUUAUCGCCUGAGGAUGAGCCCGCGUUGGAUUAGCUUGUUGGUGGGGUAAAGGCCUACCAAGGCGACGAUCCAUAGCUGGUCUGAGAGGAUGAUCAGCCACACUGGGACUGAGACACGGCCCAGACUCCUACGGGAGGCAGCAGUGGGGAAUAUUGGACAAUGGGCGCAAGCCUGAUCCAGCAAUGCCGCGUGAGUGAUGAAGGCCUUAGGGUUGUAAAGCUCUUUUACCCGGGAUGAUGAUGACAGUACCGGGAGAAUAAGCUCCUGCUAACUCCGUGCCAGCAGCCGCGGUAA